AGUCGUCCGCCGCAUUCGCGUGGGUUCUAUAGUUCCUUGAACCGAUGCUCUCGCGAGCCAGGGCUUGGAACAUUGCUCGACGGGUGUGAUCGUCUCGCGUCAGAUGAACCCGAAGUCUUGCUGACCUUGCCCACCUGAAUCCCCUGGGUUCAGGAAUGCGGCCCACGGUUCGCGGCGGACACCUU
rnacentral:other from 1 species